rnacentral:rRNA from 1 species
GGGUCACCUCCCACCCGUGUUUAUUUUACCUUGUUGCUUCGGCGGGCCCGCCUUAACUGGCCGCCGGGGGGCUUACGCCCCCGGGCCCGCGCCCGCCGAAGACACCCUCGAACUCUGUCUGAAGAUUGUAGUCUGAGUGAAAAUAUAAAUUAUUUAAAACUUUCAACAACGGAUCUCUUGGUUCCGGCAUCGAUGAAGAACGCAGCGAAAUGCGAUACGUAAUGUGAAUUGCAAAUUCAGUGAAUCAUCGAGUCUUUGAACGCACAUUGCGCCCCCUGGUAUUCCGGGGGGCAUGCCUGUCCGAGCGUCAUUGCUGCCCUCAAGCACGGCUUGUGUGUUGGGCCCCGUCCUCCGAUCCCGGGGGACGGGCCCGAAAGGCAGCGGCGGCACCGCGUCCGGUCCUCGAGCGUAUGGGGCUUUGUCACCCGCUCUGUAGGCCCGGCCGGCGCUUGCCGAUCAACCCAAAUUUUUAUCCAGGUUGACCUCGGAUCAGGUAGGGAUACCCGCUGAACUUAAGCAUA